CUCCCUCCAGCCCAGCCUCGCUAGCUCCGCCUGCGAAUGCCUGUCUGGGGAGGUGGAAACAAGUGUGGGGCCUGUGGGAGGACCGUGUACCACGCAGAAGAGGUGCAGUGUGAUGGCAGGAGCUUCCACCGCUGCUGCUUUCUCUGCAGUAAGUAGCUCUCCAUGCUCCACCUUUGACGGAAUUUGUAUGUACAGAGCUUCAAUAUGUCUAUUUAAGGAAAAAUUGUGGUUUUGCCAACAAAGAUCAUUUUGAAAGCACGAAUGGUUUUUACCUGUCUUCUUAGAUGUUGUAAAUGCCAAGCCUAGCAGCGAAGACAGGAGGGGUGGCCCAAGACACCCAGCCUCCCUUUGUGUCCCCAUAGCUUUUGGCCUCCAUUUUGGCCUUUAUUUUGUUAACACAUCUGCCUCCCCCACCUCACUGAGUGCUGGGUGUCACUUAUGUGGUCUGGCACCUAGCACAGUUUCUGGCACAUUACAAGGGCUUAGCUCCCAUUUUUGAGUAAAUGAUUGCUCCUCAUCCACCCCAGCUUUCUCUUUCUCAGGUUCCCUUUAAUGACAACAAAGUCUUCGGUUUUAAAACUGUAGAGUAGCAACUUAAAGCACUUCAUUAAUCAUCUUCUGAUUUAAU
rnacentral:lncRNA from 1 species